GAACUUUGACCUUUGCAACGGCACAUUCAGUGUCUCCUCUUUGAAAGGAGGGAUCGAGCAGCGUUCACUCACUCUGCACUCCCAUCGAAACCACAGGCUCCAGCUCUCUGUGCUAUCUGAGAGAAUAUAACCAUGUGGAAAGUCUAGUCUUCAUGUGGAACAUCUGUUACGAAGAAAUUCUACUUGGAAAGCUUGUCUGCUCUAUUAACCCAUCCCUGUUGCUCACUUGGAAGAAGAGGGCCUUCACUUUCCACUGUAAGAAGAAGGUCUUCUGUUGCUCUGAACGCUUCUGUUUAGAGACCUUUCUUCACUGUCCCCAAGGAGAUCCCAACCUUUUCCAAGCAGAUUUCUGCCAUCUUCACUCAGGCACCUAAUCCAAGCCGAACUGUUUUCCAUCCCAUCGCACAACAGUAUACAGUCUUCAUUGCUCUCUUACAGGAAGUGGUUUUGCUUCCUCCAUCCACGUACACAGCUCUUGAGGACCGAGUCUCUGACCUGCGACUUGUAAAGAUUCUGGGAAGUUUCUAGAGGGGCAAUUCAUGAAAGAAAGACUCAGUAACUUGAAUCUGCAAAUUUCAAAAUGUGGAAAAAGAAUUUUAUCAGUACCAUAGGAUGAGACUGCUUUUACCUAAGAAGAAAGCUCUCAUGGUAUUUGUCAAAUUCCAGAACAGCGAGGGCACAGCCAUUUAUAACAGUUCCUUAUGAAUCCUUUACAUGGUAGUGUGCACACUUGGACCAGCAAAUAUUUAAGAUGAAAUGCUACCCAGUGGAUUACAUCUGAGAAAGAAAGCAAUGAGUACUUGAGGACUCCUGCUACUAGUGUGCCAUGGACCCUCUAUUGCAAUGACAAAAGUGAAAACAUAAAAUGUCAACCUCUGGACCAAUGUGUGGUUAGUGCCACCGCAGCACUGUUGCCCCAGGAUGCCCUGAAUAAACCAUUGUUGUGGUUUCCCUGACAGACAGCUUGUCGGCAAAUGAUCAGUAUUGGCCAUGAUUUCGGGCUAAUUUCAUGGAUGUUUUCCAGUUUCCGUGAUCUUCCGUUCCCGUUUUCCAAACAAAAGUGCUUCUGAAAAUUUCUGUUUAACAUCUUUCACUUUGAAUAAAGAGAACAAGAAACA